rnacentral:rRNA from 1 species
GAUGAACGCUGGCGGCGUGCCUAAUACAUGCAAGUCGAGCGAACAGACGAGGAGCUUGCUCCUCUGACGUUAGCGGCGGACGGGUGAGUAACACGUGGAUAACCUACCUAUAAGACUGGGAUAACUUCGGGAAACCGGAGCUAAUACCGGAUAAUAUAUUGAACCGCAUGGUUCAAUAGUGAAAGACGGUUUUGCUGUCACUUAUAGAUGGAUCCGCGCCGCAUUAGCUAGUUGGUAAGGUAACGGCUUACCAAGGCAACGAUGCGUAGCCGACCUGAGAGGGUGAUCGGCCACACUGGAACUGAGACACGGUCCAGACUCCUACGGGAGGCAGCAGUAGGGAAUCUUCCGCAAUGGGCGAAAGCCUGACGGAGCAACGCCGCGUGAGUGAUGAAGGUCUUCGGAUCGUAGAACUCUGUUAUUAGGGAAGAACAAAUGUGUAAGUAACUAUGCACGUCUUGACGGUACCUAAUCAGAAAGCCAUGGCUAACUACGUG